CACCUCUUUCUCCUCCGCCGGGAGGCUGGGACUUGUAGUGCAGCGAGAGGCGAACUACAGCUCCCACAAUGCCAGACAGUGCCGGAGCCACUUGUUGCAUGGAUGUCCUGGGUUGACCUUUGAUUAAGUUGCUUCUGAAACACACUAGAGAGGCAGAGCAACCUUGAAGUCUCUCUACAGCAGCAUUUUCACUCCUGUGAGCCACAUCAGGACCAUUCACAAGUGCCUCUGUCUCUCUCCAGCUGCAAUCCCACAAAGAGGGAUGAGAAUCGCAGCAACGACCAGCUCUGUUUGCAAACAGCUGCAAGUCCUUUUGUACAAGCCUGGUUUUGUCCCAUGUCAAAGCUUCUCCAGGAGCCAACUCACCCUGUGUGCUUCAGUGCCAGGAGGUGUUUGAACGUGCUUUGAACAGACAUUCCACCUGUCAAACAGCAACCAGGAGGUGUUAACCCUGACAAGAACCACGCUGAGGAACUGAGGAACGGAGCAGCUCAGCCCUUGCAGGCUGUCAGGGCGACUGCGUGACUCCGGGUGCUGAAUUCUGCAUCUGAGGCUGAAAUUACACGCUAGGAAAAUUACAUGGUAGCUGAGAUAACAGCUUGCUGUUGACAAAAAGGGAAGAGCCUGCUCUUCACUGCCUUCAGUCACCAUCCACACGCAGCCUGGCUGCAGUUUAUGCUGGUGCUGGCAUUGCCAUCACCCUGUGCUGAUUCACCUUGCCAUGAAGGCAAGAAAAGGCAGCUGCUUCUUGCCAGGUGAGUGAGGUUGAAUUGGGUCAGCCAAACUUAAUAUAUCUCUCUGAAAGGGAGUUUUGUAACUGGCUUAAGCUGCCCUGGUCUAAGACAGGAAAAAAAAGGAGCAUUCCCACCUUAUGGUCCAUCACUUGCCGAGUUUUCCUGCUACUUCCAUGUGUUGGCAGAGAGCUGCUCUUUCUGAAAGGCAAAGCAACCCAAAAAAUCAAGGUCAGUUUUCCUUGACCUUUCCUGAGGAAGGCAGCAAGAUUGAUCAGCUGGGAGAGGGAAGGCUGUGGGACCACCUCCCAUGGCAAGCUUAACCCAGCCUAAACCAGCUGGAAAAGUGCAUUCUAACCCGAGUGAAAUCCUGGUGAAGGCACAGCCCCCUGGGGGGCAGAUGGGUUGAUCCAAUUAACUACUCCUCUCUCACUGAUUAGGCAUGAAACUGCUAAAAUCCCAGGCCCAUGAAAGUAAAACUUCACCAGCACACUGGUGAAACCAAGUGGGAGAUGGAGAUUUCCCAGACAAACUCUCUUUCUGGUUGGCAGCAGCACUCCAAGCCUGUCACAUCCCUGCAAUCUGAUUUUUUAUCCUGCAAACUCCACUUCAGUGACAUUUCCUCUGAAUGACACCUGCUUGUCUCUGGUUUGAUCCAUCGGGUAGAGAAUGACUCGGUUUUAUUUAUUCUGCUUGUGAGAAGGCAUCAGCAGGGGUGCCGGUAUGCGAAUUACAGCACAUGCAGAUUUUGGGAGGUCAGCAUUCUCCUGGAAAAGGGAGGCGCUGGGAAGGGCCCUGGGCACAGGGCAGCCACGAGGUGGCACGCUGGGCUUUCACUGCCGCGCCUCGCUCUUCCAGGAGCGAGUUAUUCGGGAAAAGCAGGCAGAUCUUCAGUGGAGUUAUGUAAAACACCAUCCCUGCAAGAACAGGCUUUGAUUUCCACACAAGUGGCUAGUUAGAUCCGAAGUUAUUGUCAUAUGACUGAAAUAGAUCUCUUAUGUCAGUCAAAACAGAAUGGAGGAUGUGAGUCAUGCUUUGCAAAAAGCAGGAAGUUUGGUUUUGUUGGCAAAAAUUUUUAAUACAGAGAGAAAAUUAUAGGGCUGCAUCGCCACGUUUGUCAUAAGGAUUCGAGAAUAAUGUUGUCCGUCCCUUGGAGCAAUGUUUCCAAAACAAAAACAAAAAACAAAAAAAAAGCUUUUUUGCAUUCUGAUGAUUAUUCAUCAUUCCUCGGUGCCACGGAAUGUAGGAGGAGUCUGGAAGGAAACGUGUGCCCUGGUGAGAAGCGGCAGAUCCUCCCCAAAAUGAAAGGCUGCGAUUGGGAACGCGAGGGAAUGAGGUCAUGCUGUGGCGUUUGGUGUGAUAAACCUUCCUCACCCAGCACAGGUGCGAGUCUAGUCGUGAAUAUCCCGAUAUUCUGGAAGUUUCUGGGGUCUGUGGUUGUCUCUGAGCCCCUCAAAUAGGUGCUGGGACAAGAGAUAAAUUACUGUAAAAAGCAUGGCAUGCAAUCAGCUUUCCUUCAUUGUCCAGGAAUAUAAUGGAGUUUAAAAUUUAACUAAAUUUACCCCUCAACGUGACUGUUCAAAACAUCACCAUGCAAAAAAAAAAAAAAAAAAUGAAUUUAAAUGGAGACAGGUGCAGGGGAGGGCAAGUCAGAGCAGAGAGCCAAAUGUGUAAGAGAAGAAUAAAAGCCUUUGGCUUGGUUUGCCCAGAGAAACAAGGAAUUUGAUUGCUCUUUAUAAACAUUUGAACGGGUAGACACUCCAGAGAGAGGAGUUAUCUAAAUAAAGAAAAUAGUAGCACAAGAACAUAUGGGUACAGUAAUAAAAUGUCAUUUAAGUUACUAAAAAUGACAUGUGCCAUUUGGCAGGUGGCACAGGGUAAAUUCUUUUGGACUUUGUUAUAAUGAGGGAAGUAAAAAAAACCCAAAAAAGAUCCCUGGAUUGCAGUUCAGGGGUUGGCUGGGGUGCAGUGUUUGUGACCUGGGUUUGCAUACACCUGGUGCUCUAAAAGAGAUGUAUUUCCAAAUCAUCAGAAAAUAAAGAGUGCAAGCAGGAAGAAAAAAAUAGGUAGAAGUCUAAAAAUUACAAUUAUGAGCUCUUUUUAAAGAAUUCAUUGGGCAACCAAAGAGCCACAACUUCAAGAGAGAAAAAACAUUGACAAUUCUUGUUUUAUUAAUGGACUGGAGAGUGUGAGUAAAAUUAAAAAAAGAAAUAGCCAGAAUGGAGAAAGCAGGAGAUAAGGAAGUGUUGGUAUAAAUGAGAAGCUGAGUCGUUAUUGGAAGUGAAGCACAUCAAAGGAAAUCCAUAGCUGGCAAGGCUAAAUCCCAGAAAACUAGAAGUGAAUGGUACAGGCCCAUUACUAGAUGGACAUGAUUAAAAUGUCAAUAGCAAUGCAGAAGCGUUCAUGGAACAUUUAUGAUGUGUGUUUGUAAAGAAGCAGGAAGAUCCAUGUGUGAGGGUCACCUGACAGGGAUGUGAUUCAUUUCAGUGCAUUAGUGACCAGUGGAGCUCUUGUCUUCCAGGGAUAACCGUGGCCCAGGAGGUUGGAAACAGCUGAUGCAGACUUGUGUGUGGGCAUUCCUCCUCAGUGAGCCUUGAUUGACCAGGGCAAUUCUAGGGGGCUGAAAAAGUGCCAGCUUGGUGCCUGUCUUCAGGAGAGGAGGCUGCAUGAUAUGGAGGAAAUGUAGAUUUAAUAACAUCAUAUCUGUGGAUAAUGUUCUGGAUAAACACCAAAAACGGGUGUUGUGUCACUCACAUUAGUAAUGCCAGUCAGAGUCUAACAGAAAUCUCAUUUCAUGCUU